GAGUUGGACAUGACUGAACUGACUUAAAAAAAUUAACCAUACCAAAACCUUUUAUUUCGUAUUGGGGUAUAGCUGAUUAACAAUGUUGUAACAGUUUCUGGUGAAUGGUGAAGGGACUCAGGCAUACAUAUACAUGUAUCCCUUCUCCCUCAAACUCCCUCCCAUCCAGGCUGCCGCAAAACAUUGAGCAGAGUUCCCUGUGCUAUAGCAGUAGGUCCUUGUUG